rnacentral:rRNA from 1 species
AUCAAGUGAAUAAGCGCAGAAGGUGGAUGCCUUGGCAGUCGAAGGCGAUGAAAGACGUGGAAGCCUGCGAAAAGCUUCGGGGAGUUGGCAAACAAACUUUGAUCCGGAGAUAUCUGAAUGGGGAAACCCGAUCUAUUUUAUAUAGGUCAUUAUUAACUGAAUACAUAGGUUAAUAAAGCGAACCGAGGGAACUGAAACAUCUAAGUACCUCGAGGAAAAGAAAUCAAAUGAGAUUCUGCAAGUAGCGGCGAGCGAACGUGGAAUAGCCUUCACGAGAUAGUAGACAAGUUAACCAAACACUCUGGAAAGAGUGGCCAUAGAGGGUGAUAGCCCCGUCAGUGAAAAUUUGUUUAUGGUACUAAGCGUGAAAACAAGUAGGGCGGGGCACGAGAAAUCCUGUCUGAAGAUGGGGGGACCAUCCUCCAAGGCUAAAUACUCUCGACUGACCGAUAGUGAACCAGUACCGUGAGGGAAAGGCGAAAAGAACCCCGGUGAGGGGAGUGAAAUAGAACCUGAAACCGUCUGCGUACAAGCAGUAGGAGUCCCGCACUUAAAUCACUUUGAGAAAGAUAAUGCAUUAUGUUUAUGUAUUGCAAAAUCUAGCUGAUAAAGACAAUUACUAUCUUGGGUGUACGAGCGAUCUAAAAAAUCGUUUGGUAUCACACAAUACAGGUAAAAAUAAGUCUACAAAAAAUAGACAAUGGAAAAUUGUUUAUUAUGAAGCUUAUUUAACGUUAUCAGCAGCAAGAAAACGUGAAUAUCAUUUGAAACAAGAUGGUAGAGCGAAAAGUUUCUUGUUUGAACGAAUCAAAGAGAGUUUAAAGUGAUUUAAGUGCGGGAUGACUGCGUACCUUUUGUAUAAUGGGUCAGCGAGUGACUUUUAGUGGCAAGCUUAACCGAAUAGGGUAGGCGAAGGGAAACCGAGUCUUAAAAGGGCGUUGAGUCGCUAGGAGUCGACCCGAAACCGAGCGAGCUAGCCAUGUCCAGGGUGAAGCUUCGGUAACACGAAGUGGAGGCCCGAACCCACAUCUGUUGCAAAAGAUGGGGAUGAGGUGUGGCUAGGAGUGAAAGGCUAAACAAGCUCGGAGAUAGCUGGUUCUCCUCGAAAGCUAUUGAGGUAGCGCCUCGUGUUAGUGACCAGGGGGUAGAGCACUGUUUCGGUAAGGGGGUCAUCCCGACUUACUGAGCCGAUGCAAACUUCGAAUACCUGAGUCAUGUUGCACGGGAGACACACGGCGGGUGCUAACGUCCGUCGUGAAAAGGGAAACAACCCAGAUCACCUGCUAAAGUCCCAAAAUUAGGUUAAGUGUGAAACGUAGUGGAAAGGUUUAAACAGCCAGGAGGUUGGCUUAGAAGCAGCCAUCCUUUAAAGAAAGCGUAAUAGCUCACUGGUCGAAUCGGUCUGCGCGGAAGAAUGAACGGGGCUCAAACCUAAUACUGAAGCAGUGAAUGUAACUAAUCUACGGAUUGGUUACGUGGUAGAGGAGCGUUCGGUAAGCCGUCGAAGGUGACUUGUAAAGGUUGCUGGAGGUAUCCGAAGUGCGAAUGCUGACAUGAGUAACGAUAAUGCGGGUGAAAACCCCGCACGCCGAAAGUCCCAGGAUUCCUGCGCAACGGUAAUCGACGCAGGGUGAGUCGGCCCCUAAGGCGAGGCGGAAACGCGUAGUCGAUGGGAAACAGGUUAAUAUUCCUGUACUUUGACAGACUGUGAUGGGAGGACGAAGAAGGCUAAGUGGGCCGGAGACUGGUAGUUCCGGUUUAAGCGAGUAGAGAGAAAUUCUAGGAAAAUCCGGAGUUUCGUUAAUCUUGAGACGCGAUGACGAUCGAUUAUCUUCGGAUAAAAGAGAAGUCACUGAUGCCCUGCUUCCAGGAAAACUCUCUAAACUUCAGGUCUGUUAGAACCGUACCGCAAACCGACACAGGUGGACAGGUAGAAAAUACUAAGGCGAUGAGACAACUUGGGUGAAGGAACUAGGCAAAUUGGCACCGUAACUUCGGGAGAAGGUGCACCUUUUUUGGUGAGUGGAUUUACUCCAUAAGCUGAAGGAGGUUGAAAGAAACUGGUGGUUGCGACUGUUUAUCAAAAACACAGCACUCUGCGAACUCGAAAGAGGAAGUAUAGGGUGUGACGCCUGCCCGGUGCCGGAAGGUUAAUUGAAGUGGUUAACUUGCGCUGAGAUGGCUUUUAAGAACAAAGUAGAGAGAAUAAUAACUCGAAGAGAAACCUUAAGAGCCAUGUCAGCGCAGGUGAAGCUGCGGAUCGAAGCCCCGGUAAACGGCGGCCGUAACUAUAACGGUCCUAAUAUUGCGAAAUUCCUUGUCGGGUAAGUUCCGACCUGCACGAAUGGCGUAACGACAGCCACACUGUCUCCACCCAAGACUCAGUGAAAUUGAAAUCGCUGUGAAGAUGCAGCGUACCCGCGGCAAGACGGAAAGACCCCGUGCACCUUUACUACAGCUUUACACUGAACUUUGAAUUUGACUGUGUAGCCUAGGUGGGAGACUUUGAAGCGCGUUCGCUAGAAUGCGUGGAGUCGGAAGGUGAAAUACCACCCUGUGAAAGUCGGAGUUCUAACCUAGCGUUCUAAUCGAGCGUGGGGACCGUGUAUGGUGGGUAGUUUGACUGGGGCGGUCUCCUCCUAAAGAGUAACGGAGGAGCACGAAGGUACCCUCAGCGCGGUCGGACAUCGCGCAUUGCGUGUAAUGGCACAAGGGUGCUUGACUGCGAGACAAACACGUCGAGCAGGUGCGAAAGCAAGUCAUAGUGAUCCGGUGGUUCCGAAUGGAAGGGCCAUCGCUUAACGAAUAAAAGGUACGCCGGGGAUAACAGGCUGAUACCGCCCAAGAGUUCAUAUCGACGGCGGUGUUUGGCACCUCGAUGUCGGCUCAUCACAUCCUGGGGCUGAAGCAGGUCCCAAGGGUAUGGCUGUUCGCCAUUUAAAGUGGUACGCGAGCUGGGUUCAGAACGUCGUGAGACAGUUCGGUCCCUAUCUGCCGUGGGCGCUGGAGAUUUGAGAGGAGCUACGCCUAGUACGAGAGGACCGGCGUGGAGGUACCGCUGGUGGUCCGGUUGUUUCGCCAGAAGCAUAGCCGGGUAGCUACGUACCGACGGGAUAACCGCUGAAAGCAUCUAAGCGGGAAGCCCCCCUCAAGAUAAGAUCUCCCGAGAAUUUAAUUCUCCUAAAGGUUUGUUGUAGACGACAACGUCGAUAGGUGGGAUGUGUAAGUGCAGUAAUGUAUUGAGCUAACCCAUACUAAUUAACCGUGAGGCUUGAUUUGA